ensembl:lncRNA
CCUGACACUUGCUCUGGAGACCAGGCUGGCCUCGAACUCACAGAGAUCCACCUGCCUCUGCCUCCAGAGUUCUGGGAUUAAAUGCUUGGGCCACCAAGGCCCAGCCACUUGAUUAAGUUUCUAAGGUUAUAACAAAAUUUUUUUGUUUGAGUAUAUUACCUCAAACUAAUUUAUGUUUAGGGUCAUGUGAGAAUUAUACAGUAAAUUGGGGAUAUUGGGAAUUUUUCUGAGUUCUGAUAUAUUACUUUGCAUAGACAUUAUUUGUUUGUAUCUUAAUGUUUAUAGAAUUUAACAACAUCAAGUUAAGGAAUAGAAUGGAGAAAAUGGAAUAUUUUUCUACUUUUUAUUUUAUUAUAUAUCUUAUUGAUGAUCAUCUUUGGAAAUGCACAUUUGUUUUGAAAAACCUAAAAGUAAAACCUAUAGAAAUACCAAGUAAAUUGUCUUACUUGGUAUCAGUAAUAUUGUAUACGUUCUUAACAAUAAUCACUCAGUGCAUAUCUACACUAAUAUUAAAAAUAAAGCAUUCGGUAAAGGUAGCUACAAUCUAUAUACAAUUACAAUAAGUAUGACAAUUUUUUCCAAACUGACCAAAUUAAAAAAAAAUGCCAUGACAGGUAGAAUCAAUUCUUUUGGUAAAACAGCUACUAUUGAAGACAGAAAACACUCCAUAAACUUCAAAUGAUCUUGAAGUUCUAAAAUGGAAUAUCAGGUAUAUUUACUGUUAUUAUAUUGAUUAGGUUCUGUCAAAAGUCCAGAAGGAUUCAACAAUAAAUAGAAGUGUUUAUCUAAUGUAAUGAUAUGCAAAAAUUCAAUGAUCUGUACUCUCUUUAGUAUGAUGUGAAUCUCCAAAACACAAUAAAAUCGCCAAAAACAGAGGACAGGAAACAUUAAAAAUACAGAAAAAGAGAAUUACGUGUGAAGAUAGAGAGUAUGCAGAAGCUUUGUGCACUAUUUGUGUAAAUAUUAAAAAUGUAUAGGUAAAAGAUAUCUAAGGAGAUGGCCAUGAAGAAAUGUAUAGCCAUAAUUAAAGCAGCAAGAUUCAUAAUAGUCUAUACAUAACACCAACCCCAGUAUCAUCAAUGAUAAAUGGACAUGCAAAACAACUGUUAAAGAUAAGGGAAAGUAUUCAGUCUUAAAAUAAAAAAAAAAAAAAAAACACUUAAUCCUGCUAUAGCAUGGAUGGAAUUUGUAGAGAGUAUUCUAGUAAAAUAAGCCUGGCAUAAAACAACAAAUAUAUGAUUUCAUCUGCAUAUAGUAGCUAGACUACUCGGAUUCAUAAAACACAAAAGCAGUACCAUGUUUGGCAGAGGCUUGGGAGGGGAAAAAUGAAGAAUCAUGGUUUAAUGAAGAUGGAGAUUUAGCUUUUUAAACCCAAAAGAAUUUUGUAGCCAGAUGGUGACCAUGCUUCCAUAGACAUAUAGUAUCUUUAAUAUUGCUGACAUACACCCUUAAAAUGAUUUAGAGUAAACUUGUUUCUUUUGAUAUAAGCUUAGUUUAAAAUAACCAUCACAUAACCAUAAAGUGAGAGCAUUGCACAUAGUCGUGUACUGUCUGACUCUUGAGAUGAAAACAUUCAAUUAUUCUUGACACUGUUAAGCCUCCCAAAGCACAUCUCCUAGUCUCUAGGAAAACUUUGCAGGACCUAUUUUUGUAGGAUAAUGUGCAUUUAAUUAGAAAAGACUUUAUCUUAGACUACAGGGCAGCAUCUUGUACAGGUGUCUUCAGGUUGGCUUGUACACCAUGAGAACAUCAUUUUGGGAAAGCUAAGCCAGCCUCUUAUAAUGUGUCAGUGGUCCCCACCUUUCCUCCUUCAGUACACCUACCUCACUCUUUUCGUGUCUCCAUCCUUACAUAUCUAAAUAUCUCCUUGUUUUCCUUUUGCUUAGAAUAUAAAUCUUUGGACGAUAGGCAGCAAUGGGAAUGCUGAUAACGUCCAGGGGAAGCUGGAAAAGGGAAGGACAAUAGGUGAACAUUCUAUCCCUCAUCACUGUCUCUUUAGCACUACGAAGUGAUGUCUAAUUUGAAGAGGCAGAUUUCCUAAUCAGCUACGAUAAAAUAUGUUAGAAGUUCGGCGUUCACAAUUAACCAUGGUGCGUGACUUUCCUUGAUUUUCAAUUUGAAAUUUGCUCCUGCAAAUUAUAAUCAGUAUAAAUGGCAAGAACCCUGCCAGAAAAGAUACAUUUAAAUUACUAUCUCUCUAAAAUUCCAAUAAACUAACCUUUUAGUGGAGUGCAUAUAAAACUGUCGCUGAAUUCUGAAAAGUAAUGUCAAAUUUAAUCAACGAAUUGUUCCAAACACUGUUCAAUUUAUUAAGACAUGGAAGUUAUAUGGUUAGCACCUAUCUUAUAUUUUAGAUGCAUCAGAAUCAGAAGGAAAAUAUUCCUUGUUUGCUUGAAUAGAAUGAAAUGGAAAAGUUGCAUGGGGUGUAUGCUUGUAAUCUCAUUACUUGGACAGUUGAGGCAGGAAGAAUUCGAAUUAAGCUAGUCUAGGAAACACAGUGAGGUUUCCUCAAAAUAAAAACAAGGAAAAGAAGGAGGAAAAGGAAGAAGAUGAGGAGAAACAAGGGAGACUUCAGCAGGGACCACAAGAAAUAGAAAGUUUAUAAGAAUUUUUAAGAGUAUUCUUCCAGAUCUUUGGAAAAUAAUAUUUCAAAUUAAAUAGUACUAUAUUUAACUACUAUUUAGUCCAUUCCUCCUGAAUGUUUACAUAUUGUAUGAAUUUAUAGAAUUAAGAAAAUAAUUUUAAAAAUAACAUUCAACAUUUUUCAACUCAGAGAUUACCAGAAAUACAGAAACAAAAUAUAAUCUAUGAUGUAACAAAAACACUAAUAAAUUUAAUACAACCCAGAAAUGAGAAAGUAAUGAUUAACAGGUAUAAAGUCUUUGUAACUGAAUGCCACAUGUCUAAAAUGUCAACAAGAAUAUAGAACAUGUACACAAUUCAAGCUUCCAGGGAUAAAGACUAAAGCAUUUAGUUGAAAUGCAUGAACUUGAUUAGUCUAAUGAUAAGCAACGAAAGAACUAGAAGAAAAUAUCAUUGGACUUGAAGAUAUAAUAGAAGCUAUGUCAAAUAAAUAACAGAAUGUUUUUUAAUUAGGUGAAAGAACUUUACAGAUCUAUGUGACAAUUCAAAUGGUAUAGCUACAUACAUGAAUAUGAAAAACUAUAUGAACAAUUAUAUUAUCAAAUUCAUUAAAGGAAGUAAAUCAUAUGAGAUGAUGGAUUUGAAAAAGAGGGCAUGAAACAGAGAGACAAAUAUGUGGCUGACAUUUGACAUCUCCAAAGCAUCAAAAAAUGUUAUUUGCAGAGCUGGGACCUUAUACAUAGUAAAAUUAUCAUUUUAAAAAUACAAGGUUGAUCAAGUAAAGAGAUUUUUAAGAAAUACAAAACCUGAAAUAAUUCAUCAUCAACACACCAAUGACUCCUAAAGGGGAUAUGCAUGAUGGUAGCCCAAACCCACAACCUUAGCUCUUUGAAGGCUAGGCUACACAGCCUGAAUUUAAUACAGUGAAUAGUUACAUGAAGAUACUGUAGUGAUGACAUUUAAGUUAAUUUUCUACAGUGGUACUUGCAUAUACAUUGGAUUCUAUGAGCUCUUUGUAGAGGUUUCUGUGUGCUCUAUAAUUAAAUUAUGAAGAUUUUAGUCUACUCUGUGGCUUAAGCUAAGCUAGAUGCAACUGAAGGGAAAGUAGGAACUAGAGCUAGUUAUUUAUUUACCGAUGAUGAACUGAAAUCCAUGAAGUGUGUAUAGUGCAUAUUCAAGCAUUAUAAAAUAAUCCUGCAAAACAAUAGUAGUAUGGUACCAGACAGCAAAUGAAAUAGUGUGGCUAUUAUAUACUGAACAUCAAGUUUAGUUUUAUCUAAAGUUGUGUUAAUAGAGGUGGAGAAAUGGAAAGGAACAGAAAACAAAUCAAAAUGAAAAAGCUUGAAAAAUGUUUAACUUUAAACUUUUUCAACAACUUCACAGUUACAAAGAUUGUAGUGAAAACAAAACAAUUAAAUCCACAAUUUCCCUUUAAUGUUAAAUUAACAUUUAAAAAUGAGGGAAAUAGUUUUGUCAAUUUAAAAAUAAAAUCCAUAAGAAUUAAUAUUAUAGCAUAUUAGAUAAUACUAAAAUAUAUACAGGUACUUAUUUAAUGAAUGUGUUAAGAUAUAAAUUCAACCAAUAAAUUCUUUUUAAAGAUAAUUUAAGUGAGUGUGUGUGUGUGUGUGUGUGUGUGUGUGUGUGUGUGUGUGUGUGUGCCUGCAUGAGUUGUAUACCAUGUACAUACAGAUGCUAGCUCCACCCAGAAGAGGGUAUUAUAUUCCAUGUAGCUGGAAUUAUAGAAAGAUGAGAAACACCAAAUCAGUGUAUUAGGAACUAAACCCAGUCCUCUGUGAGACUCUCAAACAGCUCAAUUCAUUGUAAGUUGAAGUAAAAUGAAGAACAAAAUUUAUGUUUUUGAUGUUUCAGUUCAUUGAAAGAAAUAUCACAAGAAAAUCGCAUCUUAAAUCGUUCUUACAUAUACUUCAGUGUAACUAACUUAAUAAGAAAAAAUAUAAUGUUCACACAAGUUAGUGUGAUCCAAUGUAUUCACUGUGAAGCACACACUGUUCAAAAUGUCACCCUAACUGACUGCUGAGAGAAUACCCAUUUCUGUUUAUGUCAGAGGCAACAACCAUCCAGAAAAAUGAUUUUAAGUAUAUCAUAACUAUCACAAAGUGUGCUAAUUUAUUUUCAGUUUUCAUACUUGGAGAGAAUUGCUAACCACUCUAUAAAAGGAUUAAACAUCAUGUCACUUGAAAAUGUUACAUUGAUAGAAAUAGAAUUCAGAUGUAUGUAGCAUUUAAGGAUACCUUCUGAAACAUUUAGUUCAAAUCUGUAGACCAAUCCCACUUACUAAGGUCCCUAGUGUUACAGAUGAAGGGUCAGCUGAAUUACAAUCCUCUUGGGAAGAUUAAUACUAUCUCCAAAGUGUUACGUAAGUAAUGGGUAUGUAGCUUAGUGACAGAGUACUUGCAUAGUACCUGCAUGGCCCUGGGUACUACUCCCAGCAUCUCAAAAUAAUGUGUUGUCUUAAGUUUAAUUGUAAUUUCCUUGAGCCUUAUCCACACUCUAUAGAUUUUUAUUGAUAUUUAUAAGCUAACAGUAUCCUUUAUUAGAAUAAGAACAAACAUAUCAAAACAUCAAUUAUAAAGGAAGCAUAAACUUCUUUAUUCUCAACUGUUAUGCUCUUCCUUUGACUGAUUAGAAAGUUUUGGAAAGUUCUUGUAAAUAUUUAAAGGGAUUGCUUAAACCUAGCUUCCAAGAGUAAGUCUCCCUAUAUGUGGAGGCAGAACAGACACUUCAGUCCAUAAGAGACAAGACUGCUAUGACUGCUGCAAAGCAGGACACUGGGCUGGUCUGAACAGGAUGCUGGAAUACUUGAACACACACAGCUUGGAAGUGAUUGUUCUCCAAGUGAAAGUUGAUUAACAAUGCAACCCCCCUACCACCACAGCCACUUACCCUUGCUCUCUGAGACAAUGUCCACAUUGUGUUGUAAAUUGCUGAAAUCCUGGGCCUAUUGCUCCUUCCUCAUCCUCCUUCCUAAGAAAGUGGUAUUUCUCCACCAGCUAUUGGCCACACCCACUCUUGAUAGGCCCCAACAGCCUUGGACUAGCAAAGCCUACAAUUGAUAGUAAUUUGGACAGGCACAAAUUUGAGAACUGCUGCUUCCAAGCAGGGAACAAAAGAGGAAUAAGCUAAAGUGAGUAGGAUUCUAGAUCAAGAAUUUCAGUGUCACAAAUACUAGCUAGGAACUUGUAAGAGAGCUGGAGGGUGAGUCUCAGUCAGUAAAGCUGUUGAUCUGCAAACAGGACUUCAGCUCAGUCCCAAAAGCCCACAUAGAAUGAUGGGCAUGGAGGUGUGCUUAUCUUCACAGUACAAGUGAGGUACACAAAAGUGAAUCCCUGAUGCUUCCUGCACAGUCAUCGUAGGCUUCCUGGUGAGUUGAGGACAGUGAGAGACCAUAUCUCAUAAUACAAAUAAAUGGAGGCAGUAUCUCUAGAAAAAGACAAAAUGUUGACCUCUGCCUCCACAGAAGUGUACACACACAAAGGAAUCUAUGUACAACAUCCAGACACACUUCUGCCCACAAAGGAACUCUUGAGGAAGUAUAAGAUCAGAUAUCAUCUUUCUUUACCUUUUUCCUAUUUACAAAAUGUAGAUAUGAUGUAUGUAUGUAUUGUUGAAGUUAUUUGGGGUAUACAAAUAAUCGUGAUGUUAUUUUAAUAACAUACUCUGGUAGGUACAAAAUCAUGGCUGUCAAAAGUCAGCUGUUAUGAACAGCAGUAUCUAGAACCAGUAGUUUUCUUAAAUAAGAAAAUAAUUGUGUUGCAUAAACAGUUAACCUUCCCUAAGGAUUCAGUCAAGUUCUCUAUCUCCAGUUCUUUCAGAUCUGUCCUCAAACAGCAAACAUUUGGAAGGUGACUGACACAUCAGUAGGAUGGCAAAUAAUUGAUUCCUUUGUUUAAUUUCUCCAUGUUAAAAUGUUAGCCAUACCUAAGUAAACUCAUCACAAACAUUUCGUGCAAGACCUUUUAAGACUCCAGCUGAAGUGAUGAAAAUAGUGGCAAGAAAAUCUACACAAAGUGAGUUUAGACCAAAACAGUUAAGUGUGUAUGUAUUGCAUCUCAGAGAAUGAGAAGAAGGAUGUUUGAAAUUGUAAGCAUUUAGAGAAAACUGACUCCUGAAGGGAACUUAUUUAUUAAGGGUACACAUUUAUGUUUAAGACUAUCCUAAAGUGUGUUUCUGAAUAGUUUUCUGUUCCCCAGGAGCCCAUAUUUAAAAUGUCUGUGCACUUUAGAUGCUCUAUUAUUUAGACCUAGUUGAAACACAUCCUGUUUUCCUCUUGAAUUUCUUUAAGUCACACUGCGGGCUGUUAAAGCCUCAGUGUAACUCCCUGGGCAGAGAGAGGGGACUUGGAGCUAGAGUUUUCCAAAGGAGCUGUCAUGAUCUGUUGACUCAAUGAUCCGUUAAUGACACCUGAAGGCACACAGCAGAGGCUACCCAGCUUGGAGCUGCUCAGAGAUGGCUGCUGAGGAUACAGGUGCACUGCAAGGAACACCCAAAUCAUCCAUUAAGAUUGCUUUUAUUAGUGGCUUCUGCUUACAAAACAGGGCUCUGGGGGAGCAUGAUUCAGUGUAGCAAAACCCCAACAGCUCAGAAGAGUCACACUGCUAAGGACCAGCUGAAUCUUGUUAUUAAAAGAAAAGAAAGGAAAGAAUAUCGCUGUUUUGACUUUCACAGGUUCAUAUAUCGUGUUUUAAGAACAAUGGUUUCCCCCAUCCACCCUCACUGCUUAUUCUAACCAUAAAAUGUGUUAAAGAAAAUCACUUCUUGGUCUCUUCUCAUAGUAAACUAAGAUAAAUUUUGGUUUGCUGAAAAAGUCAUCGAUACAUAGGCAUAGCUCUAAAAAGAUUAACAAGCUGUCAAUGCAAGCAGUGGUAAUGAGAGAUAAAUUAAAAUGAGAGAUAAAAUAAAAAAUCUUUUAAUUCAGUUGAUAGAGCUCUAUUCAGCUCACAAGGGACAUGGUGCUUAUAUACACUUCUGCCCUAGCUUUAUAAGAGGUUAAACAAAACAGAAUGCUUUUAUCAGUCAUCUAAGGGCUUUAAAAUAAUAUUUCACUCUUAUUUUAGUUGAAGAAUAAUGCUAAUAUAUGCUCAACCAUUCUAACUCAACCUAGGAUUGUGUUUAUGGAAUUGCUCUCCCUGGAAGUGUUGUUAUGUUUGUCUAUUGGAGAACAUUCUUUGUCGCUUCCUUUGGACAAACACUGAUUAAAGUUUACCAGACUAAAGCAACAUGUAAUAGUUAUUUCUUUUUUAAAUUCUGUUUUAAUUUUUUACUAUUUUUACAUUCCAAACCCAGUAUUUCCCCCCACCUCUUAUUCUCCCUCCUCCCUACCUCCUCCCAUUCCAUGUCCUCAUCUACUUCUCAGAGAUGAUAAUGCCUCCCUUGGGGAGUCACUAAAGACUGGGAUACCAAGUUGAAGCAGGACCAAGCCCCUCCCCACGAAUCAAACUGAACAAUUUAUUCCAUUACAAGGGUCCUCAUUUUUACCUAGAUCUCCCACGUUCUUGGAGAACUAAGAUCAACAUACUAAAAUGCAAUCUACAGGUUCAAUGAAAUCUCCAUCAAAAUUCCAGCACAAUUCUUCACAGACCUCUAACAAACAAUGUUCAACUUCAUAUGGAAAAACAAACAAAAAAAAAAAAAAACAGGAUAACCAAAACAAUAUAAUAAAGGAACUUCUCGAGGCAUCACCAUCACUGACUUCAAACUCUACAAUAGAGCUAUAGUAAUGAAAACAGCUUGCUAUUGGCGUAAAAACAGACACGUGGAUCAAUAGAAUUAAAUUGAAGACCCCGACAUUAGUCGACAUACCUAUCAUACCUAUGAACACCCAGUUUUUGACAAAGAAGCCAAAGCUGUACAAUGGAAAAAAAAACCAUCUUUAACAAAUGGUACUGGCAUAACUGGAAGUCCACCUGAAGAAGAAUGCUUGUUAUUUCUUAUACACAUCGGCUUGGCAUUUUACCAUUCCUUAUUCCCUGCCUGAAUUGCUCUUGCUCAUUUAAAAUUACAUGGACUGUCGAUGUAAUUUUAUUAAGUUGCAUGUGGGAAUCUCCUAACAAACUAAAAUGAAUUUAUACCAUAGAUUUAAUUUAGUUUAUUAAAGAGAGACCAACUAAGAUGGUGAAACUUAAUUGACCCAGUAUUUAUAGAACCAAAAGAUGUCUAGGUGUUGAAGUGGUGAUGACAGAAUAAAGGAUGCACUCCAAAACAGGAACUCUGACCAGAUAAAGCAUUCUACAAGUUAACAUGGAAUGUUUGCUCCUGGUGUAUAAAUAAAAGUAGAUAGCAUCUCAAGAGAAGUUGCUUAUUCCAGGAGAAUGAAAUAAUGCACAAUUUGUAGGGUCCACUGCUGAUUUCGCAGAAUAACACACUGUAGGGACACACAGUCAUCAUUUUGCUUAUUUCUUAUCCAUCUGUCAAGGUCAAUUUCCAUGCACUCUCCACUGAAGUCUUUAUAUGCCCCCAGCUGGAAGUCAUUUCUUCAGCCAAGGAGAGCUGGUAGCACAUGUAAUAUGUUUCAAUAUGAAGUUGGUGAGUGAAUAAUUGUAUUCUGCCACUCUGGGGGCAUAUCACUCCUUGAGCAGAAAUGGCUAAUUAAGAACAUAAUUAAAUUUUAAAUUAUAGCUGGAGAAAUUACACUGCAUAAGAGAGAUAAAUUAAGAUACAUAAUGGUGCAGUUACCAGGUAUAUGUUCUUAAAAUGAGUAAAUGUGCUGUGAGAAAUAAUUGAUUUACAAAGUAUGCUUCCUUUCGACUUUAUAUUCCUCUUUUAAUCCUGAUGCUCUUUCUUUAGACUCCACAUAGUGCAGUAUUGUCUCUGCAAACACUUUUCAUGCUGCUAUUGUUCAGCAGAACUGGAACAUCAUCUCUAAAAUUGCCAUUUGAUCACUAUCCUCAUCAGACCAUGCAUUGCCUCUCUCAAAUGAAAGCAUGGGACUUUAUGGAUUCUAAGGAAGAGUUUUGUGACUUUCCAUGCAAUUAUUCCCAUGUAGAAAAAUGUAACAUUACUUUUAAAUUGGCUGAGCAUGUUGUAUGUUUUUAUCUUGUAGAAUAUGAUGCUUUGAACUGCAUGCAUAUUACAGAGUAGAUACAUACAGCCUAUUUAUGUAUUUAUUCUCACUGUUACAAAUUUUUUAUCAGAAUACCUAAUGCUCACUUUGAAUUUCCUUCCCCCAAAACACCACACUUUGUCAUCUCUAGCUCUGGUCAACUUUCUUCAUAAUGAAUGUCUUGAACUCUUUUCUUCUUAGUGUAGAAUGAUGCUGAACUGAAUAUAAGGCAUUUUCUGUGUCUAUUGACAUGGCUAUAUUAUUCUUACUCUUUAUCUGUUAAUGUGAUAUAUCUUAAGAAUUGACUUGCCUAUGUUGAAGUCUGCUGUAAUCCUUGAAAUAAAAC